UACGGGGGGGAGCAAGCGUUGUUCGGAUUUACUGGGCGUAAAGGGCGCGUAGGCGGCCACUGCAAGUCGGUUGUGAAAUCUCCGGGCUUAACCCGGAAAGGUCAAUCGAUACUGCAGGGCUAGAGUGCAGAAGGGGCAACUGGAAUUCUCGGUGUAGCGGUGAAAUGCGUAGAUAUCGAGAGGAACACCGGUGGCGAAGGCGGCAUCCUGGACCGGUAUUGACGCUGAGGCGCGAAAGCCAGGGGAGCAAACGGG
rnacentral:rRNA from 1 species